CCUACGGGUGGCAGCAGUGAGGAAUAUUGGUCAAUGGACGAGAGUCUGAACCAGCCAAGUAGCGUGAAGGAUGACUGCCCUAUGGGUUGUAAACUUCUUUUAUAUGGGAAUAAAAUGUUCCACGUGUGGGAUUUUGUAUGUACCAUAUGAAUACGGAUCGGCUAACUCCGUGCCAGCAGCCGCGGUAAUACGGAGGAUCCGAGCGUGAUCCGGAUUUAUUGGGUUUAAAGGGAGCGUAGGUGGAUUGUUAAGUCAGUUGUGAAAGUUUGCGGCCCAACCGUAAAAUUGCAGUUGAAACUGGCAGUCUUGAGUACAGUAGAGGUGGGCGGAAUUCGUGGUGUAGCGGUGAAAUGCUUAGAUAUCACGAAGAACUCCGAUUGCGAAGGCAGUUCACUGGACUGCAACUGACACUGAGGCUCGAAAGUGUGGGUAUCAAACAGGAUUAGAUACCCUUGUAGUC
rnacentral:rRNA from 1 species